rnacentral:rRNA from 1 species
CUACGGGUCGCUGCAGUGAGGAAUAUUGCACAAUGGGGGAAACCCUGAUGCAGCAACGCCGCGUGGAGGAUGACGCAUUUCGGUGUGUAAACUCCUUUUAUGAGUCAAGAAAAUGACGGUAGCUCAUGAAUAAGCACCGGCUAACUCCGUGCCAGCAGCCGCGGUAAUACGGAGGGUGCAAGCGUUACUCGGAAUCACUGGGCGUAAAGGACGCGUAGGCGGGCUUGUAAGUCAGGUGUGAAAUCCUACAGCUUAACUGUAGAACUGCACUUGAAACUACGAGCCUAGAGUAUGGGAGGGGCAGAUGGAAUUAGUGGUGUAGGGGUAAAAUCCGUAGAUAUCACUAGGAAUACCGAAAGCGAAGGCGAUCUGCUGGAACAUUACUGACGCUAAGGCGUGAAAGCGUGGGGAGCAAACGGGAUUAGAUACCCCGGUAGUC